rnacentral:lncRNA from 1 species
GUCCUCUCCAGAGCUGUGCUGAUGUCAGCCUUGUGUCCUUGAUCCUCCAGAACUGUGAGUUAUAGAAACUUGUUUUCCUUAUAAGAUUACCCAGCCUCAGGUGUUUUGUCACAGUCACAGAAUAUCUAAGACACUGGUACAUGUGUCUAGAAAUUAUGCUGACACUCCCAAGAGCUGCAUGUCAGGGUCCUGCAGGUGCUACCUCUAGCCUGGCACUUUAAGGGGCUGGAGGCUGAGUGUUUGCACUUGACAGUGCGUGAGCCCAGUGUCCUCUCUGGUUACUGUUUGUUCUGCAUACUGUUUGUAUGUGCUUUUAAAGUGUCCAAUAAUUGAUCUAAUUUUUUCUUUGUACAGGAAGGAAAUUAUCCUGGUUUGGAAAAGGGUCAACAUUUCAGAGGCUGAGCUGUUUGCCCCACAAUUUGGCAUGCUUUAGAAAUCUCAUUCAUUCUGAAAAUUAAGUGCUAUGCUAUUUGAGCUCUGGCAUGUUUGGGGAGAAGAGAAGAUACCAGUGACAACUUUGGAUGUGCUCCAUGGACAAGCCCCUUGAAUAAAGAGUGGACGUGGCCUCUCAUGGCCCCAUGGGCCUCAGGAACCAA